AAGAGCCAGAGCACUUAGGGAGAUAAACAAGAGCAAGGCUUCUGCUGUUCUCAAGAUGGGGGAGAGGUUAUGGAUGUAGCUGCGGGGGUGGAUGACCCAGAAGAGCUCCAGAAGAGCAUCCAGAAGAUGAAAUGGAAGCUGGAAGCAUUCAUCAUCUUGAUUACCCAAAAUCUGCCUCAGUCUUAUCAUAGGAGUGUAAGGUCUAGUUUUGCAGUUCGUGCUCAUCAGAAAGGUGCUCUUCCAUUACAGUUCCUUCUCUCUGGCUCUCUCCCCUCCAUGUGCUUUCCACUUCAAGAGUUUAUUUUUCCUCCAUGUGAAAGAGUGUUCCACCCUGACUCAGUUUCCCUUUCCUGUUCUUACUUCUUGUUCCCUUCCUUCCUCAGAUCAUCUUCUCUUACCUCAGUCUUUAAAUUAAUAGUAACAGGGUUCUAUCUUUUUGUUGUUGUUGUUUUUCUAAUUCAAUCAAAUGAGACAAAUAAUAGUCUGAAAAAAGAAUUAAUUUGUAAAAGCUAGCACAAAGCGGUUGCCAGGCAG
ensembl:lncRNA